UGCAAAAUUUAUCCUCAACAAUAAUGGGGUUUUAUCCUUUUAACUGCAGCGUUGGGCGUCCCCCCGUCCACUGCGACAGACUCCGCGUCUCGCCCCGCCGGCAACAGCAACCAUGGGCCUCCAACCUCUUCAGCAUCGCUCGAGAAACACCAAUGUGAGAAGCCCAAAGGGAACCACAGUCAUCAUCAACCAAAGGGGAGAGCGUUCGCAGAGUUGGAUUCGCAGCAGUAGAAGCGGCGGUGGUGAAGGCGAAGGCACCAAGAAGGACAAGGUCGUCCAACGGAUUCCGGUGUAGAAACGGCUGAUUCAGUCGGGAGCGACAGCGACAAAAAAGCACGAUGGUGGUGCUCUGCCCCAGCAGGAAAAGGCAUUCCUCCUCAUCUUGCUCGGUCGCGGGUUUAUUAUCCUCGUCGAAGGCAUUGCACUGGCGGACUUAAGUAUUGCAUCAAUUCUCUCAACCAUCAAAUUACUUUGGCAAUUUCUUUUAACUGUAAGAAGGGAAGGAUAAUUCCCUAUUAUGAUUGUCUUAAGCCAAUGUUUGACAUCUCUGCUUAUAAUUUACGCUUUCCUGCUGAGAGCAGUUGUAGUAGGCAUUAUGUGCAUUUUUUUUAUGCUUCUAGUCUAAUUUUGCUGAGUGGGAAGACUCGCUACCAUUCCAUCU